UACAGAGGUCCCGAGCGUUGUUCGGAUUCACUGGGCGUAAAGGGUGCGUAGGUGGCGCCGUAAGUCAGGUGUGAAAUUUCGGAGCUUAACUCCGAAACUGCAUUUGAUACUGCGGUGCUUGAGGACUGGAGAGGAGACUGGAAUUUACGGUGUAGCAGUGAAAUGCGUAGAGAUCGUAAGGAAGACCAGUGGCGAAGGCGGGUCUCUGGACAGUUCCUGACACUGAGGCACGAAGGCCAGGGGAGCAAACGGG
rnacentral:rRNA from 1 species